AAAGCGACCCACCCAUUCCCCUUCCGCCCAUAUUUAUCCUUCGUCUACUGUUUCAUCGCAGGAUUUAAGUGGGCGGAGCACGGAAUUCGGGGGCGUGGCG
ensembl:ncRNA mir-4947 mir-4947 stem loop